GACGAACCGUACGAACGUUAUUCGGAAUUACUGGGCUUAAAGGGUGCGUAGGCUGUGCGGAAAGUUGGGCGUGAAAUACCUCAGCUUAACUGAGGAACUGCGUUCAAAACUACCGUGCUCGAGGGAGACAGAGGUAAGCGGAACUUAGGGUGGAGCGGUGAAAUGCGUUGAUAUCCUAAGGAACACCGGUGGCGAAAGCGGCUUACUGGGUCUCUUCUGACGCUGAUGCACGAAAGCUAGGGUAGCGAACGGGG
rnacentral:rRNA from 1 species